CGUGACGGCGCGAGCAGGUGCGAAAGCAGGUCAUAGUGAUCCGGUGGUUCUGAAUGGAAGGGCCAUCGCUCAACGGAUAAAAGGUACUCCGGGGAUAACAGGCUGAUACCGCCCAAGAGUUCAUAUCGACGGCGGUGUUUGGCACCUCGAUGUCGGCUCAUCACAUCCUGGGGCUGAAGUAGGUCCCAAGGGUAUGGCUGUUCGCCAUUUAAAGUGGUACGCGAGCUGGGUUUAGAACGUCGUGAGACAGUUCGGUCCCUAUCUGCCGUGGGCGCUGGAGAAUUGAGGGGGGCUGCUCCUAGUACGAGAGGACCGGAGUGGACGCAUCACUGGUGUUCGGGUUGUCAUGCCAAUGGCACUGCCCGGUAGCUAAAUGCGGAAGAGAUAAGUGCUGAAAGCAUCUAAGCACGAAACUUGCCCCGAGAUGAGUUCUCCCUGACUCCUUGAGAGUCCUGAAGGAACGUUGAAGACGACGACGUUGAUAGGCCGGGUGUGUAAGCGCAGCGAUGCGUUGAGCUAACCGGUACUAAUGAACCGUGAGG
rnacentral:rRNA from 1 species